UNUGACUUGAGUGCAGAAGGGGAGAGUGGAAUUCCAUGUGUAGCGGUGAAAUGCGUAGAUAUAUGGAGGAACACCAGUGGCGAAAGCGGCUCUCUGGUCUGUCACUGACGCUGAGGCUCGAAAGCGUGGGUAGCGAACAGGAUUAGAUACCCUGGUAGUNCACGCCGUAAACGAUGAGUGCUAGGUGUUAGGCCCUUUCCGGGGCUUAGUGCCGGAGCUAACGCAAUAAGCACUCCGCCUGGGGAGUACGACCGCAAGGUUGAAACUCAAAGGAAUUGACGGGGGCCCGCACAAGCGGUGGAGCAUGUGGUUUAAUUCGAAGCAACGCGAAGAACCUUACCAGGUCUUGACAUCCCGAUGCUAUUCUUAGAGAUAGGAAGUUACUUCGGUACAUCGGAGACAGGUGGUGCAUGGUUGUCGUCAGCUCGUGUCGUGAGAUGUUGGGUUAAGUCCCGCAACGAGCGCAACCCUUAUUGUUAGUUGCCAUCAUUAAGUUGGGCACUCUAGCGAGACUGCCGGUAAUAAACCGGAGGAAGGUGGGGAUGACGUCAAAUCAUCAUGCCCCUUAUGACCUGGGCUACACACGUGCUACAAUGGUCGGUACAACGAGUUGCGAGCCGGUGACGGCAAGCUAAUCUCUGAAAGCCGAUCUCAGUUCGGAUUGGAGGCUGCAACCCGCCUCCAUGAAGUCGGAAUCGCUAGUAAUCGCGGAUCAGCACGCCGCGGUGAAUACGUUCCCGGGCCUUGUACACACCGCCCGUCACACCACGAGAGUUUGUAACACCCGAAGUCGGUGAGG
rnacentral:rRNA from 1 species